rnacentral:rRNA from 1 species
CGCGUAGGUGGUUUGUUAAGUCGGAUGUGAAAGCCCCGGGCUCAACCUGGGAAUUGCAUUCGAUACUGGCAGACUAGAGUAUGGUAGAGGGAAGUGGAAUUCCAGGUGUAGCGGUGAAAUGCGUAGAUAUCUGGAGGAACAUCAGUGGCGAAGGCGACUUCCUGGACCAAUACUGACACUGAGGUGCGAAAGCGUGGGUAGCAAACA